rnacentral:rRNA from 1 species
CCUACGGGAGGCAGCAGUGGGGAAUAUUGCGCAAUGGGCGAAAGCCUGACGCAGCGACGCCGCGUGAGGGAUGAAGGUCUUCGGAUCGUAAACCUCUGUCAGCAGGGAAGAACGGUCACUGUGCUAAUCAGCAGUGAAUUGACGGUACCUGCAAAGGAAGCACCGGCUAACGCCGUGCCAACAGCCGCGGUAAUACGGAGGGUGCGAGCGUUAAUCGGAAUUACUCGGCGUAAAGAGCACGUAUGCGGUAUGUCAAGUCAAAGGUGAAUUCCCCGCGCUCAACGUGGGAACUGCAUUUGAACCUGGCAAACUGGAGUGUGUGAGUGGAUAGUGGAAUUCCAGGUGUAGGAGUGAAAUCCGUAGAUAUCUGGAGGAACAUCAGUGGCGAAGGCGACUAUCUGGCACAUAACUGACGCUGAGGAGCGAAAGCGUGGGUAGCAAACAGGAUUAGAUACCCGUGUAGUC